GAUAUCUUUAAGACGAUUAAAAAAAAAUCCACGCUUUUUCUCACGGGUAGAUUAGGGUAAAAUCGCGGUUUAUGAACCCUCGAUCAACUAUGACCGGGUUGAUAGAAGAUUCAUUAAACGCGACUAAUUAAUAUGUUAUUUUAGCCCGUGGAUCUCCACAUGCAGCAACCUCCACGUGGUGAGAUCUGGGUCGGUAUUACUUGCGAUUUAUCAAAAUCUAAAUCAUGUAACGCAAGUACUACCGGGCUAAUAGCUGCAUAUUUCGAUGCUUUUCUAAAUUAUUUUUCUUUUCUAAGUGCAUUUAGACACAUUACUAAUCAUAUUUAAACAAAUAAAUUAAAUAACAUUAUCAAAUUUCUUAGUGAAGAUCUAAAAAUGAAAAAACGAAUUAUUUCAAAUAAUCUUCUUCGUGAUAGUUUCUCUUCGUAAAAUGAAACUUAUCUUUCUGUCAGUAGUUUCACGGUAGCAAAAGCAAACUUUACGAAAAGGCACUACGUCACCGUGACUCGUUUUUCAGGAUAACACACGUUAUUAGAAUACUUAGAGAGGGAGUUAAAACAAAAUAUCGCCUCCUCCUAGCCACCUUUCCCACUCUUCUCUACUCUUCCCUACUUUUUUCUAGCUACUCUCGGCUAGGAUCUCCGUUGUGAAGCUUUGUAAAGAAAUUGAUAUGUAGACGGCGUUUUCCUUUGCUGUGAGAGACUACCGUGAGUAGAAAGCUUUACCACCUAAUUUCAUGGGGAGAUGCCCUUCCGUAAACUUACUAGUAAAGUCGAACUUGGACGGAUAAUCUCGUAGAAGUUAACGAUCUCUGAGAGAGGGAGAGAAAGAGAGAGAGAGGGAGGAGAGAGAGAGAGAGAGAGAGGAAAGAAGGGGGAACCGUCUGAUUCGAUUUAACGGGACUUGCAGCUUCAUCGGCCUCUCUCUUGCUUCGACUUUCAAGAUGAAUAUACGAAAGACCGUGAAAAAAUAUGCAAACAACGUAAAGAGCCAAGCGUCCAGUAUAAUUUGAUGCAAUUACCGUUGAUGCAAUUAUGAAAGAAGAAAAAGAAAAUGAAGUAGGAAAAAAGAAAUUGUCUAAGGAAUUUCCUUACUUCCCUACCUUUAUUUCCUUUACUUUCUCUGUCGUGAACAAGAGAAUGAUUGGCAUUAAAGACAUUAAGAAAACCGUUUAUUAUAGAUAAUUAUUACGGUGUCGUUUGAAUAUCUUUAAGAAGAAUAGACGAAGACAUCGAUGAAGAAUCUCGCCAUUCUUUUAUCUCCUUCGUCGUUUAUUAUUCAACGGGUAGCUUAGCAUCGUUGAAGAAGUCGAUGGUAAUUUAUCGGAUCGCGGCCCUCUAAACCCAUGGAUAGACGGCACCGUGGUAAAAGAACGCCUUAGGGGUGAAAACGAGAGCCCAACGCUCGAUCAUCGAGAGCCAUUAUGCUCUCGUUAAGCGUGCGAUUGACUUUAGAGUUCGUCGACGAUGCCGCCGUCGAUUGCGGCCGUCGAACGGCUCGUCGAAUCAAUUUUACGCGCUCGCUUCGCGAGAAAUUGCCAAUCGUUCGUUGAAAAAGUGAAAUAUAUAGAGAGACGGAGAGAAUAUUCGCGAAUAUACAUAUAUAUAUAUAUAUAUAUAUAUAAAUUUCACAAGUAUUAAACUUGCAAAAGCGAAAUUGAUAAAAAGAAUCCUUUUGAACUCAAUAUUUCUCAUCGCUCAGUUCGUUUUCUCCGAUUCACCGUCAUCGAGUUACUCGAGAUUCUCCGACUCUCUCCUAUUUCACGCUAAAACGAAGCCGCUCUGAACUUUUGUCGUGCGAACAUAGAACAUGGAAAGAGAUCGUGAAAAGGUCCACGGAAGGAACUCUUACUCGUGCUCACUCUUCUUAGAAAACGUUUGAACAGGACAAGGAAAAUCGUUUGAUAUUUUUAUUUUUUAAUUCAAAAAGCGAUUAAUGCCUCUAUGAAAAAAUAUAUAUGUAUAUCGAUCGUAUUUCCACUUUCCUUUUGGUAUCAAAGGAAUUUUCUCGAAACUCAUAUCGAACUAGGGAGAAGUAGUAUUUCUUCUCGAAUAAUAUUGUCAAAGUUAGAUUUCGAUCUCGACGAAGUUAUAACAGACGGACGGAUUUCGAUCGAGUUUGUACGUGAACGUCGCAUGUAAACGCGUAAAUUCGAGAACAUGAACCAUUCGAAGAUACAUUAUAUCAACAUUUGUUACAACUUAAUUACAACAGAUCCUCGCAUGUAAUGCACUCUCAUUUUUCGUUUUUCGAUCGAUGGGUAAUGGUAUAAUAGAAUCACGUAGAGUAUUCUCAGCUUUUUCGUGUCUUUAGAAAGAUGUUACGGUUCUGACUACUGUACGGAGUUGGAUCUGACUGAAUAGUCGUAGAAUUUACUACUUUCAUCUAGCUCGGAAUAUGAUACAUAUAUUUUUUUCGAAUAAAAAAAAGUUAUUGAAGCCAGGUAAAAGAGUUUCGCAUGAGAGGAGAGAAUAGAUCGGUUUGUUUCAAAUAAAAUACAAAUUGUCGAACGUAGAAAAUAAUAUAUAGGCAAGAAGAUACAAUUCAAAUCGGUCGAGUAAUCGCGUUAUCAUCCCAUCGGCUGAGAAUUUUCUAAACUUUGAACUCUUGCGAAGGGUUUAAAGCAGUGAUCGAAUUGGUUAAAGGAACAACACAGUAACUUCUUAGAACUUUCCUCUGCUCGACGACAACGAAAAGGACAUCGAUGAAGAGGAUGUUGCUUUUGUACGACGGAAAUGCAGCUCGUAAUUCAAGGAGGUGCCGACGUCUUGUCGGUGAGCUGUUCGUUGAGUCUGUGGAAAGGAGAGAGCCGAUAUCUCUACGGUAUGGCUGGAGGGUGAAGGACCGAAAAGAGGAAGAGAACUUGAAGAAGAAGAAGAAGAAGCGUGGAGUGGAGUUAACCGUUCGAGACGAAAGUCUCGACGAGACUUGCAUCAGCCGGCGUGUACGAGACUUGCUCCGGUUCUCUGCAAAGGCGCGUAUAAGUGGUUGAAAAUCGAAGAGAGAAAGAGUGAGAAGGGACCCACCACGAGUCUCUCGUGACCGAGCUCUCCUCUUCGUUUCCUCUGUGGUUUUGUCUCGCAUACCACUCUUUCUUCUUGCUCUCUGUCUCUCUUUCUCUCUCUCUCUCUCUCUCUCUCUCUCUCUCUCUCUCUCUCUCUCUCUCUCUUUCUCCUCCACACAUACACACGCAUACGCACAUCAUUUAAAAUCCCAUCGAAUUUCUCCUUUGCCUUUCUUCUUUUUCUCCAAGCACCGUCUCCCUUUUCUCAUCCUUCCUCUUUCCUUCUACUCUUUCUACUCCUUUUCUCUUUAUCUCUUUCUUUUAGUCACACUCGAGAGUUUCGGCUGGCCUUGAUCCAGUCGCACCAUCCUCGACUUUUCAAGGGGCCUGUUAGUGUACGACGGUAGAAAGAAAAAGAAGCAGCAUUCUCAUCGUCGUAGUCUGCGAGCUUUGAACCACAAAGUGCAUCCUUCCAUUAGAGCGCGUGAUACUUCGUGACCAGCCGGCUGCAAGAGCAGUUACGAGAAGCUGGAAAUGCGGGCGCUCUCGAAAGCCACGAAGUAGUCAUAAAUCUAGCGGAAGGACUGUGGAAACGCUUUUUCGCUUGCGAGGAAAAAGGAGGAAGGUUGAAGGAGUAGGAAAAAAAUAAAAUAAAAAAGAAAAAGCGCAAAGGAGAAAGAAAAACCCAACAUCUCUCGCGGAAAUCGAGUAAUUUCUUCGAAAAGCACAGAGAACUAACUUAACGAGGAAUGCCAUUUCCGUUUUGUUUUACUUCUUUUUUGCCUACUUCUUCAGUUGGUACAAUUCGUUAAAAAAUUUGCUGUCCAUUCGAGACGUUCUCUCUUUGGAGAAAUUAUCAAGGAUUAUCACCUCGGGACAUGUUCGUCGCUCGAAAAUACUACGAAGAAACGAGUUGCGGUGAAAUGCUGAUUCGUACUCCAGGGAACUCUGUCGGUUGAGUAACUCGAAAUCGCGUUAAAAAGAACACGAGAUAAUGCAAUCAAAAAUCGUCGACGAAGCUUUUCUCUUUAAAAACUUUAACGGGGGUAGUAUUCAAUUACGUAUAAACUAUUUAUUACAGAGUGAACCAAACGAAGCGUUACAAAGUGUUCUCAUCGAUUAUUUUCUGUUGAUAUUAAAUAAGACUAAUUAUAAAUAAAUUUAGAAUACUUGUUUAACGCUUUACUUGGGCCAUCUUACGCAUAUACUUAAUAUAUAAAAUAUAAUAGAAACAAAAAUGAUAUUUUCUUAUU